rnacentral:rRNA from 1 species
CGGUGGAGCAUGUGGUUAAUUCGACGCAACGCGAAGAACCUUACAGGGCUUGACAUCCCCUGACCGCGUAUGAAAGUACGUUUUCACCCUCGGGUGACAGGGAGACAGGUGGUGCAUGGUUGUCGUCAGCUCGUGUCGUGAGAUGUUGGGUUAAGUCCCGCAACGAGCGCAACCCCUACGUUUAGUUGCUAACGCGUGAGGGCGAGCACUCUAGACGAACUGCCGUUGACAAAACGGAGGAAGGUGGGAUGACGUCAAAUCAUCAUGCCCCUUAUGUUCUGGGCUACACACGUGCUACAAUGGCCGGUACAGACGGACGCAAAGCCGCGAGGUGGAGCAAAUCCGAAAAAGCCGGUCUCAGUUCGGAUUGCAGGCUGCAAUUCGCCUGCAUGAAGUCGGAAUCGCUAGUAAUCGCAGGUCAGCAUACUGCGGUGAAUACGUUCCCGGGCCUU